UGGCUCAGAUGCAAAAGCAUCUGCCUGCAAUGCAGGAGACCCAGGUUCGAUCCCUGG
rnacentral:tRNA from 1 species